rnacentral:rRNA from 2 species
UCUAUACCGUGAAACUGCGAAUGGCUCAUUAAAUCAGUUAUCGUUUAUUUGAUAGUACCUUACUACUUGGAUAACCGUGGUAAUUCUAGAGCUAAUACAUGCUAAAAACCUCGACUUCGGAAGGGGUGUAUUUAUUAGAUAAAAAACCAAUGCCCUCCGGGGCUCCUUGGUGAUUCAUGAUAACUAAACGAAUCGCAUGGCCUUGUGCCGGCGAUGGUUCAUUCAAAUUUCUGCCCUAUCAACUUUCGAUGGUAGGAUAGUGGCCUACCAUGGUUUCAACGGGUAACGGGGAAUUAGGGUUCUAUUCCGGAGAGGGAGCCUGAGAAACGGCUACCACAUCCAAGGAAGGCAGCAGGCGCGCAAAUUACCCAAUCCCGACACGGGGAGGUAGUGACAAUAAAUACUGAUACAGGGCUCUUUUGGGUCUUGUAAUUGGAAUGAGUACAAUUUAAAUCCCUUAACGAGGAACAAUUGGAGGGCAAGUCUGGUGCCAGCAGCCGCGGUAAUUCCAGCUCCAAUAGCGUAUAUUAAAGUUGUUGCAGUUAAAAAGCUCGUAGUUGAACCUUGGGCCUGGCUGGCCGGUCCGCCUCACCGCGUGCACUGGUCCGGCCGGGCCUUUCCUUCUGGGGAGCCGCAUGCCCUUCACUGGGUGUGUCGGGGAACCAGGACUUUUACUUUGAAAAAAUUAGAGUGUUCAAAGCAGGCCUAUGCUCGAAUACAUUAGCAUGGAAUAAUAGAAUAGGACGUGUGGUUCUAUUUUGUUGGUUUCUAGGACCGCCGUAAUGAUUAAUAGGGAUAGUCGGGGGCAUCAGUAUUCAAUUGUCAGAGGUGAAAUUCUUGGAUUUAUUGAAGACUAACUACUGCGAAAGCAUUUGCCAAGGAUGUUUUCAUUAAUCAGUGAACGAAAGUUAGGGGAUCGAAGACGAUCAGAUACCGUCGUAGUCUUAACCAUAAACUAUGCCGACUAGGGAUCGGGCGAUGUUAUUUUUUUGACUCGCUCGGCACCUUACGAGAAAUCAAAGUC